rnacentral:rRNA from 1 species
CCUACGGGUGGCAGCAGUCGAGAAUCAUUCACAAUGGGGGAAACCCUGAUGGUGCGACGCCGCGUGGGGGAAUGAAGGUCUUCGGAUUGUAAACCCCUGUCAUGUGGGAGCAAAUUAAAAAGAUAGUACCACAAGAGGAAGAGACGGCUAACUCUGGGCCAGCAGCCGCGGUAAUACAGAGGUCUCAAGCGUUGUUCGGAAUCACUGGGCGUAAAGCGUGCGUAGGCUGUUUCGUAAGUCGUGUGUGAAAGGCGCGGGCGCAACCCGCGGACGACACAUGAUACUGCGAGACUAGAGUAAUGGAGGGGGAACCGGAAUGCUCGGUGUAGCAGUGAUAUGCGUAGAUAUCGAGAGGAACACUCGUGGCGAAGGCGGGUUCCUGGACAUUAACUGACGCUGAGGCACGAAGGCCAGGGGAGCGAAAGGGAUUAGAUACCCUGGUAGUC